AGACUUACGUUCUUGAUCCUUUCUCUGGCGCCGUGGAAGCUCCUACUCUUCAACAUGCGGUCCUCACUUAUCGUGACGCAUUUAUGUCUAAAUAUGGACGUUACUGCAGAUGACCCUCCGUGAACAGGUGGCUUUCCUGAUAUGGAAUGAGACUCAUCUUAAGAAAGGCGUAGCCCUUAAUCGCAAUGAAGAUUCAGGUCUGUCCCACUAGACGCUGACUGAAAACGAAGAGGCCUAAUGGAGAGGUCUUAACAAUCUGCAACGCAUGGCUAUAGGCAGACCCGUGGGGGCUGAGAAAAGCUGUUCAGAUCAUAUUCAUGGGAACGCAGACCCAAGGGCUUGGGCUUGAUCCAGAAGUCUGACGCCUCAGUAGAUUUGUUGGUAUACAAAUUAAAAACGUUUGUCAAA